rnacentral:rRNA from 1 species
UACGAAGGGGGCUAGCGUUGUUCGGAAUUACUGGGCGUAAAGCGCACGUAGGCGGAUACUUAAGUCAGGGGUGAAAUCCCGGGGCUCAACCCCGGAACUGCCUUUGAUACUGGGUAUCUCGAGUCCGGAAGAGGUGAGUGGAAUUCCGAGUGUAGAGGUGAAAUUCGUAGAUAUUCGGAGGAACACCAGUGGCGAAGGCGGCUCACUGGUCCGGCACUGACGCUGAGGUGCGAAAGCGUGGGGAGCAAACAGG